rnacentral:misc_RNA from 1 species
AUUUAAUUGACAAUGUAACUUAUUACUGCGGAUACUUUCUAACCACAGCUAUCAAUCAGCCCUGAUACUGAUACAAAUUCAAGAAGAAACCUAACAAUUAUCUCAAAUUUACUAGAAAAUUCAGGUAAGAAAACCUGUCUUCUGCAAAAUAGCAUCUCGGACUUGCCUCAAAUCCCUCCCUUUCAACUUCCUCCCAGCUCCCUCAACCACAGAGGAUGCCAAAAUUGGUGUCUUUCUCGACGCAACAAUUUCAUGCGGUGGUAACACCUCACCACCGUCGACAUCAUCAUCAACAUCGUCGAAAUGCCUGCCUCUUCGGCGCGCUGCUGCUGACAUUACAGGUACAUUCACCGGUGCAGACUGGAGAUAUUUAACACGAUCCACUGGCGGCCGUUUAGGAAUUGUAGGAAUUAAACGAGCCGACGACGUAGAGGAAGACGAGGAGGAUGAAGAAACGGAGAGCAAAGCCUGCGCGUGGGACUCAGACUCCGGCAACGCGGCUAGGAUACCGAAAUGUUUGUGAUGGGAGAGAUGGUUAGGGGACCGAUGAUAAUUAGCGAUCGGACUUGUUGAAGUUGAAGGAGUGGAGUGUUGAAUUGCAUCGGAGGAUGCGUCAAAAAUGUCGUGCUCGCUGAGCUCAACUUCGGCGGCGGAAGUCGAAGCAGAGGGUUGGGAUUGUGAGUGAGCGGUGGAGAAAAUGCCGAGGAAACGAUCG